UAGCUCUCAGCAGCAACUCAGAGGCUGCAUCUACCUCCAUGGCCAGUUGUGAGAGAGCUGAACAGUUUAUUUAGAGUACUUAAAAACACCUUCUGUUUGUAUAUUUCUUGGUCACCCAUUAACAAGGCACAGCCUUUUAAGGAACUCCUUGUCUUUGAACUCUCUCUUGUCUUCCCUCAAAAAAAAAAAAAAGGAACUCACUACUGAAAGGCAAGAAUACUGUGUGGUUCUGUUUAAUCUGUCACUGUGUAUUUGGUUCUCUGACAAUCUUUUUUUUUUCUCUUUUAAUUUUUCUUCUCUGUCCCAUAGAACCCAACAGCCACAUUUAAAACAGGAUAAAAUAGGGCCUCGUUGACCAUGUUUGUAGUUAGAAUCAUCUCUAGGAUUGUGUGCCACGCUAAAAGAAACUUGGCUAAUUCUGAUCUCUCUUGCCUGAUCUUGAACCAUUCACCUAGAAUUUCCUCCCAGUGCUUGUUGUCUCCCUGUUCUGGAAAUAGUAAGCAAUCUGUGCUACUAUGCAACUAUUGCUGACUGAAAGUCUUCUCUUCAGUAGAUAGAGACUUUACAUUCCCUGCCUAAAGUCAUGAUGACAUUUGCCUGCAAUGUCUGUCACUGGGAAGGGUGAAUAAAUUGUAGCCACAUUUACCUGAAACCUGCAAAAAAAAAAAAAAAUGAUGGGUCAGCUAUGUAGAUGAGCUAACUGUUCCAUUGUAUCAAGGCUGUACCAUUUGGCUGAACUUUUUUGAAAAUGAUAAGAAGGGACUCUGUGUUUCUAAUAUUUUUUAAUGAGAAAAAUCAGCUCAUCCAUUGCUCCAUUUCCUAAUCGAACUCAAAGCAUUUCACUCAGGUGUCAUGGGCUGCACCUGCAGGAAUGAGACAUCGCCUUCCUUGAUAUCUGGCAUGGGAAGGGUUUCCAUAGCUAUGAGCUCUGCCACUCUAAUGGCUUUGCUAGCUGGUCUCAAACUCCCACCAAAUGUGGCAGUAACCUCUACCAAAAGAUUCUUCUAGUGUUCUCCAUUCAAGUCUAUUUUUUCUCCUCUAUUAUUAAGAAAAAAAAUUCUUAUGUAUUCAACCAAAUUUGGUCAGAAAACAUUCUCGUAACAAACAAAAUUGGAUACUGUAAUUUUCCACACAUUUGGGGACAUUCACGGUUUUCACAUUUCUGAGCCAUUGCCAGCUUCCAGCAGACUGCCCAGGCCGUCUGUCCAUAACACAGACCUGUACCUGCAAAGUGGCUUGGAGCCCUGGAGCAGGUUCUGACAUCAUUUGGAUCCCAAAAGUUUUAAUCAAUAUGGAUACUGGGAAGCAGAUUUCUUCUUGAAACUUCCCAACAACAGAAAGGCUUCAACUGUUUCUAUUUAAAACAUACACAUAAUCCCUUGGGACACAGUAAAUGGGUGGUAGAAACUACAGUUGUGAAGAUUUGCCCAUUUUCCUCAUUAGCAACUUCCUACCUUAUAAUGACAUAAAGAGAGUAAAAGCUCUGCGUCAUGAAGUGAACAGGAUACCUAAGAUGAGGAAGGUGAACUGUCAGAACUGAAUCAGGGUUUGGCUUUUUGUUUUUUAACUGGGGAUUGAACUCAGGAGCAUUUUACCAUCGAGCUACAUUCCCAGCCCUUUUUAUUUUGAGACAGAGUCUCAUUAAGUCACUUAGGAUCUCAAUAAGUUGCUGAGGCUGGCCUUGAAAUUGUGAUCCUCCUGCCUCAGCACCCCUUCAGUCAUUGGGGUUAUGGGUAUGUGUUGGGAUUAUAGGUUGGCUCUUGAAGCAAUCUUUCUUUAUCCUUUUGAUCAAUGGAGCAGAUUUUUCCCCCUUUUGAAUAAGACUUUCCAUUCUAGUAUAAACUCAUUGUUUCAGCUAAGAGUCUAAGCCUAAGGGUAAUGCCAGGUAAAAGACAUAGUGUGGGGGAAGGAGAGGUGGAGCUACAGACCAUCACAUUUCUAGAAAAAUCUCAGUAACCUAAAGAAUAUUUAAAUACUUU
rnacentral:lncRNA from 1 species